GACGAACGCUGGCGGCGUGCUUAACACAUGCAAGUCGAGCGGCGCGGCGAACGGGUGAGUAACGCGUGAGUAACUGCCCCCCUCUCUGGGAUAACAGUUGGAAACGGCUGCUAAUACCGGAUAGUGGGGGAUGACUCGCGGCCUAUCAGCUUGUUGGUGGGGUAGUGGCCUACCAAGGGGACGACGGGUAGCCGGCCUGAGCGGGCGACCGGCCACAAUGGGCUAGGAUACGGACCAAACGCCAACGGGGGGCAGCGGUGGGGAAUAUUGCACAAUGGGGGAAACCGUGAUGCAGCAACGCCGGGUGCGGAAUGACGGCCUUCGGGUUGUAAACCGCUUUCAGCCAUGACGCGGUAGUGGCAGAAGAAGCACCGGCUAACUACGUGCCAGCAGCCGCGGUAAUUC
rnacentral:rRNA from 1 species